UCCUAGGGUUACCUUGGUGGAAGCCAACAAUCUUCUCCAGUUGGAGCAGUUGGACGGUCGACCACUGAAAGCACUGACACCCUACACUGCGGCGAAGCCCAAUAGACAAAGACCAUCGACUGUCCGAGCCCCCCAGGAGGUACCCCAUCUACCAGAACCAGUGAGUUCGGAUCAGUCUGAUUCUUUGUGCUCUGAGUCGGAGGGGGACCAGCUAUAGAACCUAGGGGUUCUGCCCAACACCUAGACGUGGGUCCAACUGAUGUUCUCAAUUACCAACCACCCUCCAACUUUUCAUUACAUCAUCUACAGCUACUGUUAUUGACAUGUUGUCAUUAUCUGCUAAGAAACUUGUAUUUCUCUAUCAUACUGGGCACAUAAUAUGUGACAUACCCAGAUUAACUAAAAACACUAGCACUGCAAACACUCAGAACAAAGAGAGCAGUCUACCUCUUCAAGUUCCCCUUCCGAGACUGGCUAGCUGUUGAGAACAAAUGACAGGUAGAACCUCCCAACCACAGAACAACCACCUCCGGAAUAUUCCACAUGCCAGAAUUCAGUAUUUUAGUCUGAUUGUCAUGUGAGUGUACAAAACAUCUGUGAAAAUAAAUGAAUGACACAACUGUACCAAAAAAAUAUUAAAGUUGUAUUAACGAUCUUAAACAUUGCCAGGUUGGUUUUCAAAGCUGUUUUACAAGGUGUUCAUUAUUGUAAGUUGUAAGGUGCCCUUUGAUGGUAUUUAUUUGUUCUACAUUAUUCACUGUUGUAUCCUAGGAAUUACAAUAGAUACAUAUUUGUAUUUUUUUAAUUUCACCUUUAU